GCCACCUCUGCUUUCAGCCAGGAUGUCCACUUGGGGGGGUACUGCUACCAGAAGUAGGAAUGGCCCUAGGACCCUACAACCUUCACCCCACUCUAUCUUCCCUUGAAAUGAGCCUGCCACUACAGAAGGGGAGCAGGGCCCACAGAAAUCUAGAGCUAAAGGGGCAUUGCUAGCCACCAUGAGCAAGAGGAGGACCAGCCCGGAAGUCUCUCCAAGAGCCCCAAAGUCCAGGAAUCCCCACCAAAGGAUUCAGAAACAGCGCCCACAGUCCGGGGCCCCUCUGAACGCUUGCCAGUCAGUGGCCAGACCCUUACUCCGACCCAGUUCUGCUCCCCGGUGUGUGCCCAUAUCCGCGCGCUCUCACAGUUCCUCUUCUGGAGCAAAGGGCCUUUCCCAGCCGCAGUAGAUGCUUAGACUGGCGCUUCCAUCUCAGUUACUCUCUGUGUCUGGAGUCCUGGAACGGGUAUAUGACAGCCCUCUUCCUUCAGAAGAUGAGAUUAAAUGAGGAAAGUCUUGAAUCAUGUACUUUGGGAUCAUCACUGAUUCUCUAGUCUUCAGCAAGCAUUUAUAGAGGCAGUAGUCCCAAGUGGUUAAGACCAGGAAUCAUCUGAAGUUAAAUCUGUGGACUUGACAAACGAACUUGAGCAAACGAGCUCUCUGUUGCCCCAGUUUACACUGUUGUCACCGGCUAUAAUGAUAGUACCUAUCUCCUUAGGGGAUUGACAAGUCAGUGCCUGAGAAAGCUCAGUGUGUUUGAUAAAUCUUAGCUGUUACUCUUACGGUGCGCUGUAAGAAUUCUUACGGUGCAUCCGUGCUGGGAUGCAAAAAUAAAAUAAGACAGUUAUACUUCCUCAAGAAGUUCACGAUUUGUGGGGUAAACAGACCUGUAGGAAAAUAAUUGCCAGUGUAAUAAGAAUAAGAGAGCUAGGGACUUCCCUGGCGGUCCAGUGGUUAAGACUCUGCGCUUCCACUGCAGGGGCACGGGUUCCACCCGUGGUUGGAGCUAACCAUAGGGGACAGAGGUGGCCAGGCGAAGGAAUCAAAUGAUGUAAAAGGGUUGGUCAGGAAAGGCUGCUUUUAGUGGGAGAGGAGCCAGGUCAAGGCAGGCCAGGAAGGCACUAGAUAUCUCACACAGAAGCUUCAGAAGUGAAGUGCCCAGGGACUUCCCUGGUGGCACAGUGGUUAAGAA